rnacentral:rRNA from 1 species
UACGGAGGGGGCUAGCGUUGUUCGGAAUUACUGGGCGUAAAGCGCACGUAGGCGGCUUUGUAAGUUAGAGGUGAAAGCCCGGAGCUCAACUCCGGAAUUGCCUUUAAGACUGCAUCGCUUGAAUCAUGGAGAGGUGAGUGGAAUUCCGAGUGUAGAGGUGAAAAUUCGUAGAUAUUCGGAAAGAACACCAGUGGCGAAGGCGACUCACUGGACAUGUAUUGACGCUGAGGCGCGAAAGCCAGGGGAGCAAACGGG